UACGAAGGGGGCUAGCGUUGUUCGGAAUUACUGGGCGUAAAGCGCACGUAGGCGGAUCAUUUAGUCAGGGGUGAAAUCCCGGGGCUCAACCUCGGAACUGCCUUUUGAUACUGAUGGUCUCGAGUCCGGAAGAGGUGAGUGGAAUUCCUAGUGUAGAGGUGAAAUUCGUAGAUAUUAGGAAGAACACCAGUGGCGAAGGCGGCUCACUGGUCCGGUACUGACGCUGAGGUGCGAAAAGCGUGGGGGAGCGAACAGG
rnacentral:rRNA from 1 species